GAGACCUCGCACACGUUACACGGCGGCUCCGCCUCUUCGUCAGCCAGGCCGAGACGUCGCUCUCCGUGGCCGCCCGCCUUUGUGGUCGCGCUGCCGCUCAGCCAGGCCGCAAUACUAACUACCGCCAAGUGCGCGCCUCUCCCGCCGCCCGCGUCCAGGCGCCAUUUACCGCGGGUACUUAGCCACCCCCACCCCCCGAGCGCCUAUCCCCCAGGGGAUCCCUCAGGCGCCUACUCCCAUCUCCCCAGAAACCUCGCAGCCUCCAUCCACACCCCCUCCAAGGCCACCCCGCCGCGAGUCGGGCUCCCGCAGCCACGGCCGCGUUCAACGCCACCACUCAAAAUGGCGGCCGCGCCCGAGCUAGGCCUCGCGAAGAGUCGUCGCCGCCGCUCCGCCCCCACCGAGAGGAUUCUCGCGGCCUUCAGCGCCCUCCACACGCUCGCCCACCCCCCUGCUCGGGGGCGGAGGUGUCUGUCCGCCCCCAGGGCCCGAACUGCUGCAGCCACCUCCUCCGGGUACACCGGGCGGGCUGGGCUGCGGCUAGCUCGGGCCCUUCUCCCCGUACUCACCGGGAGAUCCUCACACUCUCCUCGAUGUGCGGCGACGGUGGACUCUAUGGUGGGGGGAGCGAAGAAACCUCUGCCUCCUCGCUUCCCACCGGCGGGCGCGUUGCUUGCUUGGCAAACUACGCAGCGAAGGCAGAAACAGGCAGAAUUGGAUGAAGAUUCACACCAAAAAAUUGCAACCGAUAUGAACCUCUCAGAAACUGCACCCUACAGAUGAUUUUACCAAAAGUUCCUGCUUUGGAUUAAGGUGGUUCACGCCAACUAAUGAGGUCCCUCUCUGUGGUCAUGCUACAAUGGCAUCAGCUGCUGUUAUUCCAUAUAAAAAUAUCAGUGAAUCAUUUGGUCAGCUUCUUGAGAAAGGACUAUUCUGAGUAAGUGCCCAAUCAAGAAACACUUAAUUGACAAUGGACUUUGGGAGAUGCCAAUCCACAUCUGAGCUUUCGUGGGAACGUUCGAACUAACAUGUAAACAAUGGCAUCAGCCUGCAAAAAGCCGAAUCAUUCGUGGACAUGUGACUUGUCCAGGGGCCUACAAACUCCAUCUUGUUGCUGUGAUUUUCCACAGAAGAACAAAGGGGUUUCUGCCCACAAGAGAGAGAGAGAAUAUUAAAAGGCCCUGGAAGC